AAGAAACAUUCAAGGCAAAGGCAGAGCCCAGGACUAGAGUGUCUGCCUGGAUGAAGAUGCUCUAGACAAGCUCUGUAGACUUUGCAGUGCCUUGCUGUCCUACAGUGGCAGCGUGCUCAACACAACAGAGAAACGAGGCAGGAGGAGAAAGAUCCUUCUACCACCAGCUUUCCAAGCAUAUGACAACACAGGCAUAGUACGUCUGCACCUGCGCUGUGGUCUUUGGGUGGCGACAACAGUGACUGGUUUGUACCAGGCAUCAAGGAACCUCAACCACUUGCCUGCACUUGUGGAGUCUACAUGUAGU
rnacentral:lncRNA from 1 species